rnacentral:rRNA from 1 species
GGACCCGCACAAGCGGUGGAGCGUGUUCUUUAGUUCGAGGCUAAACGAAGAACCUUACCCAGGCUUGACAUCCCGAGAAUUUCUCCGAAAGGAGAGAGUGCUUUAUUGAACUCGGUGACAGAUCUUGCAUGGCCGUCGUCAGCUCGUGUCGUGAGAUGUUUGGUUAAGUCCAUCAACGAGCGCAACCCUUAUCGUUAGUUGUAUUUUUCUAGCGAGACUGCCCCCGGUAACGGGGAGGAAGGAGGGGAUGAUGUCAGGUCAGUAUUAGUCUUACGUCUGGGGCUAGAAACGCGCUACAAUGGCCGGUACAACGGGCAGCGAAACAGUAAUGUGAAGCAAAUCCCACCAAAACCGGUCCCAGUUCGGAUUGAGGGCUGAAACUCGCCCUCAUGAAGUCGGAAUCGCUAGUAAUCGCAGAUCAGCACGCUG